rnacentral:rRNA from 1 species
GGGUGUGAUCAUACCAACACUAAUGCACUGGAUCCUAUCAGAACUCCACAGUUAAGCAUGCUUGGGCGAGAGUAGUACUAGGAUGGUGACCUCUUAGGAAGUCCUCGUGUUGCAGCCC